UAACACGUAGGGAACCUGCCCAUGCGGCCGGGACAACUUCCGGAAACGGAUGCUGAUACCGGAUAAGGAAAGCGAAGGCAUCUUUUGCUUUGUUAAAGGAGCUGCAAGGCUCCGCGCAUGGAUGGACCUGCGGUGCAUUAGCUGGUUGGUGAGGUAAAGGCUCACCAAGGCGACGAUGCAUAGCCGGCCUGAGAGGGCGAACGGCCACACUGGGACUGAGACACGGCCCAGACUCCUACGGAAGGCAGCAG
rnacentral:rRNA from 1 species